rnacentral:tRNA from 1 species
GCUGAUCUGGUCCAAUGGUAGGGCACUGCUGGCGUAGUUACCUCAAUGCGCCAUACUUCUAUGAAGUAGCCUAGGGCCCGUUAAGUCGGUUGGAGCAGGGAUGCGUGGUUCAAAUCCGGCGGUUGGCU